rnacentral:rRNA from 1 species
AAUAGAUACCCAGGUAGUCCACGCCCUAAACGAUGCUCACUAGGUGUUGGGGAAGCGAUUCCUUGGUACCGCAGCUAACGCGUGAAGUGAGCCGCCUGGGGAGUACGGCCGCAAGGUUAAAACUCAAAGGAAUUGACGGGGACCCGCACAAGCGGUGGAUGAUGUGGAUUAAUUCGAUGCAACGCGAACAACCUUACCUACCCUUGACAUGUCCGGAAGCCUGCUGAAAGGUGGGUGUGCUCGAAAGAGAACCGGAACACAGGUGCUGCAUGGCUGUCGUCAGCUCGUGUCGUGAGAUGUUGGGUUAAGUCCCGCAACGAGCGCAACCCUUGUCCCUAGUUGCUACGCAAGGGCACUCUAGGGAGACUGCCGGUGACAAACCGGAGGAAGGUGGGGAUGACGUCAAGUCCUCAUGGCCCUUAUGGGUAGGGCUUCACACGUCAUACAAUGGACGGUACAGAGGGUUGCCAACCCGGCGAGGGGGAGCCAAUCCCAGAAAGCCGUUCGUAGUCCGGAUCGCAGUCUGCAACUCGACUG